GGCCUCGGUCACAGUGAGGACUAGGCCCAGAGCCACGGUGUCGCCUGCUUACAGCUACCCAGGAGAGAGGCAUCAGAGUUGGUACACUUCUCAGGAGGUGGUGUGGCACGGUGUCUGUGCUGCCCCCAAUGUUCGUUCAGCAGAAGCUCUAUGAAGAUCAAUCAUUGCCACCACAAGCAUCAUUCAGACUGAUCAAGGAAAGCAUGCUAAAGAUCUUUCAGGAUCAAAUUGGACCCAUAUAUCUCGAUGGCUGGGGUCCUGUCGGAGUCCAUACAGCUGCACUCAAAGUGUAAUUCUCUACAGAGCUGGCCAACAGGCCAUUUCUCGAUAUUUCCAGGAGCGGCCUGGAAGACAGG